AUCAGCAGUGUUUAUUUGGAGCAAAUUCAGCUCCCAGAGCUGGAUGGUUGAAUGCAGGAGGAGUUCCACCAAUUGCUCCAACUCCUUAUUCCAUUGUAGCAGCUUGGCCAAACUGUUCAGUUGUUGGUGGGGUCAAUCCAAGGGUUCCAUCUGGCAUCAUAGUGGCAGGUCCUGGAGGAGCUGGAGUACCAGGUGGCACAGGAGCAGGGAGCAUGGUGCCUCUAUGGUUUAGGCCCAUAGCCAUUUGGCUCAUCCGUAUCUCUUGUUCUCUCACAUCAGGGAAGGUCUCUUGGAUCCUUCCUGCUGUUGUCACAUCAUUUCUUCUUGUCACCGCAUCUCUUCCUCAAGAGCCUGCAUUCCUCUUCCUGCCUGAGUUCUAACUCUUCAUUUCUGAACCUCUUGGUUCUGCAGCUCCUCCAUUCUUCCAAGCUCUUCUUGGAAGUCUCAUCAAAUCCUGCCUCAUUAGCAUUACCUGGUACUUAUAGUGUGCUGCCUCCAUUUCCAUCUCCAACUUCUCAGGAGGCUCCUUGAUGUUCCAGUCCACUUGGUCCUGCUGUUGCUUCUCCCUCUCAAUGAGUGCCUUCCAGCGCAUGGUAAACUCAUACUCAAAGGAUCCAGGCUGUGCAAAUCUGGGUGGCUGCUCUCUCUGUGUUGUUGUAAAAAUAUACAAAAUACAAAAAGUAUGGUUGUCUUUUAUCCCUACUAGGUCUGGCACCGCAGUGCUCCCAAGAUAUCUACUGAAUAUCUUAAGUCUCAGUCAGCAAAGCCUCUCUCCUGCUUUGCUCCAUCCCAGAUCACACUGCUGAAGGCCUCUCUCUGAGCCGUCAGCAAUCUCUCUACCUAUCUAGUUCCAAAGGCAGGUUUCCAUGCCAGAAACACAAAUCCCAGACCAGCUGCCCCACACUCCAUUACACUUAAAUCUACACAUGAAAGAACACACAACACAAUAACCUUUGGCCCAGUUGAUAAGAUAUAAUUGCCCACCUAAACAUACAAAGCUCAACAUACAUACAUCCAUUAAAAACAUUCGUAACAACCUGUAAAGGUACAGCAUGGAAUCUUAACGUCACCUGCCAUAUUGUCCUGUCACAGCUUCUCUCCCUCUCCCUCCUGUCUCUUCCUCCUUUCUGUUCCAGUCUCCUCUUCUUCCUUCAAACUUCUCUCCCGACCAUCCUUCCAUCUCCUCCAAUGACAGACCUCCUUCUAUCCUGUACCUGCCCCUCACCUGUAUUUUAAAAAUUAAAUGAGGAGAAGUUUCUGGUGAAGUCACCUGAGUCCUGAGUACGUGACUAAACAGCUGUCCUUGGGGCAGUGGAAUUAGCAUCAAAAUAUAGAUAAAUCCAGGACAAACCACAACAUCUCUCCUUUGAAAUUGCUGUUUUUUUUAUAACCAGCUUCUCUGGAAGUCCCUCUUCAUCAUCUAACCAGUCCAUAGACUCCACAGUCACCAGCCGAGGAAAUGUGGUUAGCAAGAAGGAGCCUUCACUGCAUCUGUCCAGAGUUUUCUGAGUAGCUAGCUUCCCUGAGAACUCAACAGUGCCUUUCCCUGGGGGCCUUCCGUGGUCAUCCACAAUUAGAGCCUUCUCCACCUGGCCAAACACAGGAAAGGCUUCUUCCAGCAGUUCGUUGGACAUGUACUGAGGAAGGUUGCAGACUGUAAGGGGAUGCACUAUGACAAGCAAAGCACACUCACAGCUACUUUCCACAGUGACAUAUUAUCCAGCUCCGCUUUGGCAAUUUCUGCUAGGGUUCAUGUUUCCAAGCAAAUAUCUUUAUCCUUAUAAAUGAAAACUUCACCUGCUUUUCCAUAUUUCUCAAAAAGUUUCCUUAUCUCUAACUUUGAUGUCAGGGGGAAGAUUGCCCACAAAGAAAUGGUUAUGUUGGGUAAAGGUUUUCUCUCCUGGUUUCCUAAAAUUCUUCAGGUCCAUAGUCAAGCCUUCAUCUGGCGGCUGGCCUGCUGUUCAUUUGCAGGUAUUGGUGGGGGUGGCUGCUGCUGCUGCUGCUGGUGGUGAUGAUGGUGGUGAUGUUGAUGGUGCUUCCUUGGAGUAUGAUUCUGUUUUUUCCAAGUUAAAGGUUUUAUUGCUCUGCAUUUUUACAUCCUUGACUUCGAUUUGAACACAGCAAAAUGUCUGCUUCCCAGUCCUUUCUAAUCCCGACUGCCUCUGCUCAUAGUUCUUUGCUCAGAGUAAAGGCGACACUGCAAGGCCUCCACUGCCCCAAGAAAAGAUCUGACAUUUUUUAAAAGUGUCUCAUAAGAUAAUGCUUAAAGCAAGAAAUUAGGUACAAGGAAGUGUAUUCCAUAUGACUUGGUUUAUAUAGCAACAACGCAGGCAAAGCAGUCUCUGGUGUUAGAAAGAUAGUGACCACCUUUGUGAGAGAAGGACUGGUGCCUGAGAGGAUGAGAGGAAGCCUUCUGGCCUGCUGGGAGCAUUCUUUUUUUUUUUUUUUUUUUUUUUGGUUCUUUUUUUUUCCGGAGCUGGGGACCGAACCCAGGGCCUUGCGCUUCCUAGGUAAGCACUCUACCACUGAGCUAAAUCCCCAGCCCCAGCAUUCUUUUCCUGAGCUGCUUGAUGCUAACACAAGCAUUUGCUUUGUGAUAGCUCAUCACGCUGUAUGUGAGUUUCUUUUUCCUUAUGUACAUUUUACCAAACAAAAAUAAAACACAAAGAUUUCUGGCUCUUAGCUAGUUUGGAAUGAAAAUUGCUGCUGCCCAGCUUACUGGAUAUUGCCUAAUCUCCAAACACUGCAGUUUCUUAUCUGUUUGGUCAGGUUGCAUUAUACCAAAUCAAAAGACUAUCUUGAGUCUCAAGGGGUAAAUGAAUGAGAUAGUUUGGGACAGUAAACAGAUAAGCAAAGGACUAUCAAGGGGAAUCUACGUCUUCUUUGCUGCCCUGAUUCACUGCUGUCUUAAGUUCUAUCUUAACUAUCUCUUAUUUUUCUUUUUAGAAGUGUUGAAGUCAAGACAAGGAAGAAAGAUGCCAUCCAUUUUCUGUAUAUUUGUACAAUGCAAAAAUUCCUGUGUAAAUGAGGCCAAGACUGCCAAAAAUAUAUAAUUCAUCUGAAACAAAUGGAGUCUAUGAAGGGAUUGGCUUCUGGAUGAUAACAGAAAAUGUAGAAUCCCCAAGAGUUAACUAGGACUUGGUUGCAAUAGUCAAACAUAAAGAACAUUACAUUCAGUAGCAUAUUUCCAAGUGGUGAAUCUAGAUGUCCUAUAGAAGGUUGCUGGGUACACAGACACGAUUCCUAGAUACUUAUAGUUCUAGAGGCUCUGUUGCUAGUAAUAACACACCAAUAAUAAUUAGUAUGUACAGCAUGAAGACUAUGAUCAGCUAAAUUAUAUUAGUAUUAUAGAUCACAUAAGUAGAUUUUAGUGGUUCUUGUCAUACUUAAAAAAGCAUGUGGGUGGAUGUUACUCUAUUACAUGUUAAUAAAAAUGCCAUUAUCCAUUGUAUAAUAUCAUUAAUGUGUGUAAAACUCAAAUAUAAACAAUAAGAUUUACUUUUAAAAUGUAGGAAGUCCUUGUUGAAUUAAGUAAAUAGAUAGACAGGUAUAAUGGGAAGAUAAAUUCAGUUUAGUAAACAUCCCAAUUUCUUUUCUAUUGCUAUGAUAAAAUGACGAUCAAAAGCAAUGUGGAAAGGAAAAUGUUUAUUUCAUUAAUGAUCUGAAUUUUGGUUUAUAAAUGAAAUGAAUUCAAAAGCAUGUGACAGCCAUGCUUUGUAAUCAAGGAAGCAAUGGCUGAGUUCAUUAGUAGCUUCUUAAGAUGAAGAGUCAACUCCACAAGGCUGCUCUCUGAGCUUCACACGCGCACGUCAUGUCAAUGUGUUUAUAGGCACAUAAUGUGUUUUGUGUUUGGUCUCACUUUGUUACCUUGGCUUGUCUAAAACUGAUUCUGUAGACAAGGCUGGCCCAGAACUCCAGAGAUCUGUCUGCUUCUACCCCUCAAAUUUGGGAGUAAAGGUGCAUAUCUCUACACUUGGCCCAUACAAACAUCAUGUACAAACACACACACAUACACACAAUACAACACACACACAACACAACACACACACACACAAAACUAAUAAUACAAAGUUUAAAAAUAUAAGAUUUAAACAUUAAUUUAAUACACGUAAUGUACAUCUUACAUAAUGUUUAAAUUGGGCAAAAUGUAUCAAUAUUUUCAGAUGUUUAUGAUUUCUUAUAGUGAAGACUUUCAAAAUCUUAUUUUAAAAAGAUGAACAGUGCCCUAUUGUUCUCAAUAGUUGCUCUAGUGUGCAGUAGCAUGCCACAGCUUCUUACUCUAAUAACUCAAACUUAAUACCUUCUGACCUUUUCUUGUGAGUUCAUGUUAUCUUAAUUGCCUCAUUAAAGGCUGUGUCUCUAAAUAAAACCCCAGGCUGAGUCCCUCUGCCUUAAGACUUCAACAUAAGAUAUUUGGGGAGCAGAGUUCACCCCAUGGCAAUUUCUAAGACUUAAGAGAUUAAAAACUCACUGUGGUAAGAAGGAUCCAGUCUUGGAAGAGAGUUGAAGAGAGUAGUCUAAGGAGACAAAGAAUAAAGCCAUUUGAGGAUCACUUACCUUGAGGAAGGGGACAAGGUAAGGCCCAGAGUUGUGGCAUAGAGACCCCUAAUUCAUCAGUGGUCACCAGAGGCACGGUUAGUCACCACAAUGAUGAGAUCAUACCAUUUGAGCAAUUCAGUCAGAGUGUCAUGGAAGAAAUGUGGGCACUGGUACCUUUUGUAGCUCUGGAUGGUUCCAAUCAUGUAUCUGGCUCUGAAAGCCUAAAGUCUGAUUAUGAACAAUUAGGUUCUGAUACUUCCAACAAAGAGAAUUAAACUACAGGGUACCACUGUUUGAUUUCUUACUCUGAAAUGUUGAAAACAGAGCUUCUCCACGCUCCAGCACACACCAAAGCCAGUGACAAGCAUCUUGGGCUUCUUCCCUUUGAUCUGGAGAUCACCUGAAAAAACCCUGAAGACAUACUAAAUCCAUAUUUCCUCAGGUUGUGAGCUCCUACAGUGUUCCUACAGCUAUAUCUAACCUACUCUCCCUCUUUAGUCUCUAUCCUCCUCCCCCAAAAUAGGAAGAUGUGAGAAAGUCAGGUCUACAUAUUUGCAGACAUACAUACUACUGAGAAUGUGGGAAAUAUUUAAUCCUGUGUUAAUGGAGGUAAACACAUGUACCCUAUACUUGAUAACAUCAUGAAAUAUUAUACUUAGAAUAACUGUAUUUCCACAGACCUCCCUACCUUAUACAAAUAUUAGUAUUUAAUGAGAAAUGAGCUCAAACAGAUGUUUUAUAUUGGGAAUGUUUUCUCACAGACAGUUUCAAUAGAAAUACUUAAGCUCUUCAAAUUUAUCCAAAUAAAAUAUUUGGUCUUGAAACAUUCUAUUUUAAAUGAGUGAGUCAGAGGCUCUUGUUUUAGUUCUCAUGUCCAACUGAAUAUCUAGUAAUUGACAAGUUUGUAAUCUGAACUCUAGUGAUUAAGAAGUGAUUUUUAAAAACAUACAUCCCUUGCAUAAUAACACUAAGAAAUGUCAGUGACAUUUCUAAAGAUCUGAGUAGUGAUUCCUCAUGUAGAUUUUAAAAGUCAUAUUAGGGGUGGGUCAGAUCAAGAUAUGAUGUACGCAUAUAUGAAAUUGUCAAAGAAUAAACAAAAGAUAUUUUUAAAAUCCAGAAAUAUAACUUUGUCUCUGAGAUGUAAUAAAACUAGGAGCAUUGCCAAAUUUAGUCAUGUUUUCAGAGAAACAUGUAUUGCUAGAAAGACUCAAUAUUAUCCAAAUUUCUACAUCACUAAUAUAUGUUCCAAGUGAACUACAGGAGAAAGUUCUACAGCAAUGUUCCUUAAAUUUUUAUUUACGUUUUUAAUCACGUGUGUGUGUGUGUGUGUGUGUGUGUGUGUGUGUGUGUGUGUGUGUGUGUGUGUCUGUGUCUGUGUGUAAGAUUGCACAGGUCUUCAGGCUUGAUGGCAAGUACCUUCUUACUGAGCCAUCUGCUGGCCCUACUUUUCAUAUUUAAAUUUGUGUAAGAAUCAAGUAGAAGCAAGGCUAAUUCUGGAAUUGGUAGAAAUCCAUUGUGGAUUUCUAACGAGCUCCUGCCCAGACAGUACUGUUGCUGAGACACUGCAAACCAGCACCCUCGAAAGUCUGAUUGCUUCCUGCUUCCAUUACACCCACCACAAACAGAACAAUCCCUGAAGUACAGCUCAUCACACGGAUCAUUACUAGGUCUGUCAUUAGCUUCCAACAGUCUAGACAGCUACAAUUUUUUUACCUAUUGUGUAUUUUUAUCUAUUUUCUGGCGCAUUUUAAAUUCCUAUCAAAUAUGUUCAAAUAUUCCACUUAGAACUUGUUCUAGUUUCAUUUCUGUUGCUAUGGUAAAGUACCCUGACAGAAAGCAAUUUGGGGGAGGAAAGGGAUUAUUUGGCUUACAAUUCCAGGAUAUAAUCCUGCAAUUCAGGGAAGUCAAGGCAGGAACCCAAGCAGUUAGGACAUCCCAUCCACAGUCAAGAUCAACAAGAGAAUAAACAUAUACUUACCUACUUGCUCUCAGCCAGCUUUCUGUUCAGGAUCCCCAGUCUAGGGAACAGUAGAAAGAGUUGGGCCUCCCUACAUCAAAGAAAAAUCAAAAUAAUCUCCUACAAAUCUCCCCACAGGCCAACCUGAUUUAAAAAAUUCCUAAGGAAAACACUAUUUACAAAUGAUUCUCAGUUGUGUCAAGCUGAUCAUUAAAGUUUAUCAAUGCAGACAUGUAUUAUAGCUUGUUACUAGUUGCUCUAAGCAUUAUUCUCUGCAUCCUAACAUAUCAACCCACUUAGUUAAUAUUAUGCUAUCUUUUGUGGCUUGUCCCAGUCACUUUUCUUAGUUCUGUGAUCAAAUACCCAACAGAAAGAAGCUUAAGAAAUAACUGUUUUACUUUGGCUUACAGUUUCAAGGGACACAGUCAGUUGUGGAUUGAAAAAUAGAGCAGCAGGAGGCAGCUGGUCAUAUUCUGUCCAUGAUGCCAGUUCUUGGUUGUCAACUUGACUAAACCUGAAAUUAACUAACAUCCAAAAAUAGAGGGCACACCUGUGAGGGACUUUUGGAAAUAAGAAGAUCUACUUUUAAUCUGGAUCUUGAGAUCUCCCUGCUUCCAGUUGAGAACUCUAAUCCUGUAGUGAGACUGGACCCCAGCAGUAAGUGGCGCCCAACGUGGGGCAGGGGAGCUCAUCAACGGGGGCCAAGCGCUGAGUGCUCAUCACUCCAUCGACCUCUGGGUUAUGGGCCCAGCACGCUUCUGCUCCCAUCUUUUGCCAUUGGUGGUUGAGAUGAGACUUUCUACUUUUCUGCUUUGGGAUUAUAUGAUCUGAUGAGGCAGUCCAGAAUCCAGACUGGUGACUUGGCAUCCUGUGGAAAGACACAAGCAUACCCCUUCUGGAGGAGAGAAGAACAUCUGGUCCCUUCCAUGUAGAUGAAAGGACAUCUUUCCACAGAACUAAUGGAUCGUGAUUUUCCAUAGGAUCCCAAUGGCGCUGUAUUGCAGAUCUACCUUGAGAAUCUUUAUUCAAGUAAUUAAGUACAAAAAGAGCGUGAUUCAGUAAAUGAGUGGGGGAGGCAUAUUUUAAUUCUACUCCCUGUAACUUAGCCAAUUGUGUCUUUAACAGUUGGUUAGAUCUCUCAAUAAUUGCCUGUUCAUAUGCACAUGCACACAUACAUGCACAUUUGCAAACACACACACACACACACACACACACACACACACACACACACACACACACGUUCUGUUAAUCUAGAGAACCCUGACUAAUACAUUGUCUGUGUCAGAAGGCAGAGGACGAUGGAUCAUUUUGCUCAGCUUCUUUCACUUCUUCAUUCACUCCAGGGCCAGAGGCCACACAACAGUUACUAGUGGCUCUUCGCAACUCAGUCAAUCUAAUCUGCACAUUCCCUCACACAGGCUUCAAGAGAUUUAUUUUCGUGGGAUACUAAAUCCUAAACUGACUAUGAAGAUUAACCAUCCCAGUGCUGUGGUUGUAUUUUAUUCCUGUACAGACUAUACAUUUCAUAAUGUAAUAUCAUCAGAUUAGCUUAAUAUAAUCAGUUGUCCUUUUGGGUUAACUUUCUAUGGCUGUGACAAAUAGUAAAGAUAAACAAGAAAUACCAAUUUUGGGCUAUUGUUCAGAGAUUUCAGUGCAUGGUUACUUUAUUCCAUUGUUUCUGAGUGGGCAGUUAGGAUAUUAUAAAGCAAAAACUAUUGGUUUCGUGUCCAGAAGGGGGGGAGGAGGGGGAGAUUGAUUUUCUGAAAUUCAGGGCAUAUCUUUUCCAACCCCCACCUUAUUUAAAGCUCUGGAAACUUCUCACACACACACCCAGUGUAUGCUUUAUUAUUUCGGUGCUUCUUCAUUCAGUCAAGUUAACAACCACAAGGCCAUCUUACAAGGCUUCUUACACCUCCCAAUUGCCUAAUGAGUUAUUUAUGAGCCAAUCUCCUCCCAAAGGCUCCAUCUCUCAACACAUUGACGACCAAAUGAACAACAUCAAAUGCCUUUGUGGUGCACUUAAGAUCCCAACCACAAAAGUUCAACAUACACUUAUUACUUACAGUGUCCUUCAUCCCUUGCUUAAGGCUGACAUUACUGUAGAGUGCUACUUUGCUUUAAUUCUCUUUUUAUUAUCAAGUGUUCUGUGUACAACAAUGUUUAUACUAACUAUUUUAUUUUAGUAUUUUCAAUACGUCAUUCUUGGCUUUUUUCUGGUGAGAAAUAAGCUAUCAUUUGUGAUACUGCAUGCCUGUAUGAGAUGUCUUUUGCCUCAGCUAUUUCAAGAGUUUUCUCCUUAUCUUUGGCUUUUAAUCUUUUAAUUACGAUGAGAUUUCUCCAUGUGAUUUUCAUUGUGUAUAUUUUGAAUUUGCUGAAGUUCUCGAUACUCUAAAAUAACAUUUUAAACUUCUUAUCUUUUUGCCUCUUUACACUCUUAUUACAUGAGUUAGAACUGUUGAUAUUGUCCUAUAGGGCACUAAGGCCUUUUCUAUUGUUAAACUUUUAAAACUUACAUAUAUGUGUUCUGUAAUAGCAUUUCCUCCAUCUCUCUCUUUCUAACCUUUCCUGUUUCUCCUCCCAUCUGCCUUCCCACCCCUAUUCCUUCUCAAAUUUGUGGUCUCUUUCACCCCACCAAGACAUUUUACAAAUUGUUUUGAUUGGCGCUGGAGAAUUGGCUCAGUGGUUAAAAGUACUUGUUGCUAGUGUAGAAGAUCUGGGUUAAAUUUUCAGCACCUAUAUGGCAACUCACAACUCUCUAUAACUCUGGUCUCAGGGAAUCCGGUGUCCUCUUCUGACCUAGAGCAGCAGGCACAUGUGGUCUACACACAUACAUACAGCAAAGCACCCUUACAUAUGGUAAAUCUAAAAACAUUUUGAAUUGUUCUGGUCAUUUUUCCUUUCAGUUAAUCAGAUUUAAUCAUCAUUUCGAUUUGUCUGUUUUCAUUUUUUAUCUUAUUUUCUUUAUUUUCAGUACUGCUAUUUAGUAAAUUUCUAAUAUUCCAUUUUCAGAUGUAGAAUCUCCAUUUGGCUCUCUUUUUAUAAUGUCUCUUCCUCUGCUAUAUUCCUCAUCUAUUUAGUUAUUGUGACAACUUUUCUUUUUAUAAGAGUCUCUGCUCCUUUUCUAUGAAGCCCCAUAUUUAGUCUUAUAGGUGGCUUCUAUGGUAGCUUUUCCUCUUAGGCUUAGAGAAUUUUUUUUCUGAGCCUUUGUGUAUCGGCUUAUUGAUCCUUAAUUCAAAAUCUUGUCUACCUGCUCUAUGAGAAUGGAUUGGUUGGCUAGAACAAUGGCUCGGAGGUUAAGAGCACAUACUGUUCUUGUAGAAGGCCUGAGUUUGGUUUCCAUAAUCCACACUGGGUGGCUCGCAACCUCCUGUAACUCCAGCUCCAAGAGGUUUGACACCCUCUUCUGAACUGCCUAGGCACCUGCACUCUAGUAUACAUACCCAUCCAUAGGUACACACAUAUGUACAUAAUUGUACAUAAUUGAAAAAUAGCAAAAUUAAAUCUUUAAAAUGGAUUGGAUUGCUCAAGCAUUUCUUUUACACAAUGAAUGUAGACUUAAGCUUACUGAGUUUGUGGAUUUCUACACUGAAAAAAUAUAUCUAUCUACAUCUAUAUCUAUAAUCUAUAUCCUUUGUUUCGAGAGAAUAUUGAUCUAAUAGAGGAUUGUCUCUGCUUACUUAAGUCUUUAGUGUAUUAAAAGUACCCACCAAGGGUAUCCUUUCUAGUUAGUAUCUUGUGAUUUCUAAAAGACUAGGAAGGGCUCUGUAAAAGACAUGAUCCAUAACUUUUCAUUUUUUUUCCUGCUCCGACAUCCUCAGUGCUUGCAUAGAAGUUUUGAAACCACAUAUUAUUUUUCUAGUUCUACAAAACUUUAUUCACAAUAGAUAAUGGCAUAAUUAGUAAUUCACAUGGUUCCAUUUUUUUGGGUUUUUGUUCUCUGUUGUCAUUUUUGAUAUGGUUGAAAAGCACUAAUAUGACAUUUUCAUCUUUGCUAGUUUUGUGACUCUAUCCUGACACAGACCUCAAACCUGGCUGAUUACAUUCAAUAUAAAGAAAGUGCAGACUGGUUCAGGCUAUAUUUUCAACACUGCUCUUGGGCCUAGCUACAGCAGCAUUCUUACCAUUUUAGCUCCUAGGAACUCUGUAGACUCUAGGUCAAGUCUAGUUUUGCAAACAUCUUGAUCCACUGUUCUUUGACUACAGUCAAUAUUUUAUUUUUUAUUUUAUUUUUUUUAUUAACUUGAGUAUUUCUUAUAUACAUUUCAUGUGUUAUUCCCUUUCCCGGUUUCCGGGCAAACAUCCCCCUCCCCCCUCCCCUUCCUUAUGGGUGUUCCCCUCCCCACGCUCCCCCCAUUGCCACCCUCCCCCCAACAGUCUAGUUCACUGGGGGUUCAAUCUUAGCAGGACCCAGGACUUCCCCUUCCACUGGUGCUCUUACUAGGAUAUUCAUUGCUACCUAUGAGGUCAGAGUCCAGGGUCAGUCCAUGUAUAGUCUUUAGGUAGUAGCUUAGUCCCUGGAAGCUCUGGUUCAGUCAAUAUUUUAAAUCCCUCUCUGAAAGUCUUUUCAAUACAACUCCACUAUCAAGUUUAGAUUAUGUCUAGACAUAAGAUAGUCUGGAGACUUCGGUGCUAGUUAAAGGUUCUACCUCCUAGCCAUCCUCACCAAACCCACUAUAAAUAGUUUAAUAUCCAUUUAUUAUAAUAUUAAAGAGCACAGUGAUAUCAUGGUUUAUAAUUUUCACACUUAUAUUUAUUCCACUGAAGCCAAGGAAAUCCAUUUCUCUCUGCUUGCCUUAAGAUGCUAGAAGCCUGUGAGUACUCAAGACAGUGUGAUUCUUGCCUUGGCUGAUGAUAUAGUCCUAGCAAGGUGUUGGGGAUGUACUUGUUGUCCCUUCUCACAAAGGGUUUAUUCCUUCAAUUCUAACUUCAAUUUUAAGCUUCAGUUUUUUAAAACAAAACAUAAUAAAGUGGAAACUAAACAUGGGUCAAAGAAUGUUUUGAACAGGAGAGUGGCUAACAUUUUCUUUAGGUUUUGGAGAAGGUAACUAAGAGGAGUUAGUACCCAUGGAGCCAGCUGACUGGAAAGCCUGAGUAACAGAAAAGAUGGGAAAGCACACUGACAGAUGUCUAGAAAGUGCUUCCCUGGGGAAUGUUUUAUUCUGGGGAUGAAUAGAUAAAGGAACACUCAGAAAUUGUCCUCAGAUAGACAUAUACAUGGCAUCAUCUAGAGUCACACCACCUGUGAAAGUAAUUACCACAAGGAACCAUCAGAAGGACAGAAACCAUCAGGCUGCAACAGGGUCAGCCAGCACUGCUCCUACUGAUUGGCGAUCUUAUGAAAGCCUAUGUGAAUUGUGUCUGUGUCCUUUGAAGGAGUAUGUUUUGGGACAGAUAUAUUUGUGACAAGCUUACACAGACACACAGACACACACACACACACACACACACACACACACACACACAGCAAACACACCCAAUUGGGGUGUUAGAUGGCAGAGUAGUGGUUACCUCUGUGAGAGAUGGCAAAGGAAAGUUACAACAGGAAACUCAAAUGCAGAAAACAAAAUACUUCCUGGGGCAAGAAGUAAGAACUUUCCAUGAAGAGUAGACCUGUCCAUGACCUAUAAAGAUAUAAAAAAUAGGAAGCAAUGAAAUAGUAUUAAGAAGUAAAAGUUUCUCAUUGACCUUAAAAGCCAGGAAAAGCACAGAAACACAUUACAGCCACCAAAGUAAAUAACUGUAGCCAGUGCAAUGGCCAGUCUUGAUUGUCAACUUGACUACUCCUGGAAUGCACUGAAAUCCAAAAAAAUAGAGGGCACACCUGAGAGGGAUUUUUGUUGAAUUGGAAGUAGGAAGACCUACUCUAAAUCAGAUCUAUGAGGCAGGGAGAUAGACCUUUAAUCCAGAUGUAUUCUAAGUAAUGCCUUCUGCUGGCAGCCUGUACAAGGGCACGGAAGACAGAACUGCUCUUUGCCUGCUUACUCUUGUCCUUGCUAACAAGUUUAUUCUUUCACUGGAAUUAGAUCCUACUUCAAAAUUCAAGCACUGAAAACUAGCUGAAACUUCCAGCCUUGUGGACUGAGCAACUUCUGGAUUCAGCCAUUGUUGUUUAUAACCAGUCAUUGUUGGAUUUGCUGAACCACAGUCUGUAUUCGUGUGUGUGUGUGUGUGUGUGUGUGUGUGUGUGUGUGUGUGUUUCCAUUCUGUAAAUUCUGUUACUCUAGAGAACCCUGACUCAUACGGCCAGUAAAGCUGUCUUUGAAAUUGAUGGAGAAAUAAGUGCAUUAAAGACAAGCAAAAUCCAAGGCAGCCAUUACAACCAUUUACUUAUAUAACACUACUCAGUAUAUAUUAAUCACACUACUCAGAAGGUUCUUAUAUGAUAUGCCCCCAAACCUUACUUAGUAAGCCCUGAGAUCUUAGUACAACCAACUCCAUGAUGUAAGUGCCAUUCAGACAUAUUGACAGUACUACUUGUCAAAACAAAAACAAAACCUAAUCCAUUGAAGUCCAUAGUUAUGGGAAUUUGUCUCUAAAUGCACUAACCUUGCUCUUUGGCUUCUGUAGUUCCACUUUUGUCAAACUGUUCUUAUUAACUAAUGUAUGUCAGCCCAGGAUAUGUUUUAUUUGUGCUUAAAAGCUUUCUCACACUGAGAAAGGCUUGGGGCUACACUGGGAUCCUGAGCAUUCAGUGUAGUCAUUGACCAGCUAAUAAAGACUUUCUAUUGGCUUAAA